rnacentral:rRNA from 1 species
AGAGUUUGAUCAUGGCUCAGAAUGAACGUUGGCGGCGUGGAUUAGGCAUGCAAGUCGCACGGGCCGCAAGGCCAGUGGCGCAAGGGUGAGUAAGGCGACGGCAACCAACCCCAUGGUUGGGCAUAGCCGCGGGAAACUGCGGGUAAUUCCCAGCGACGUCGCGGGGGGGCAUCUCCUCGCGACCAAAGUUCAGGCGCCGUGGGACGGGCCGUCGUGGUAUUAGGUAGUUGGCGGGGUAACGGCCCACCAAGCCUGCGAUGCCUACCGGGCGUGCGAGCGUGGCCCGGCACACUGGGACUGAGACACUGCCCAGACUCCUACGGGAGGCUGCAGUCGAGAAUCUUCGGCAAUGGGCGCAAGCCUGACCGAGCGACGCCGCGUGGAGGAUGAAGGCCCUCGGGUUGUAAACUCCUGUCGAGGGGGAAGAAGGGGCGUGAAAACCCUUGACUGAUCCCUGGAGGAAGCACGGGCUAAGUUCGUGCCAGCAGCCGCGGUAAGACGAACCGUGCGAACGUUAUUCGGAAUCACUGGGCUUAAAGCGCGUGUAGGCGGACCGGCACGUCGGUCGUUCAAAUCCCCCGGCUCAACCGGGGAACCGGCGCCGAUACGACCGGUCUGGAGGAACGUAGGGGGAGCGGGAACUUCCGGUGGAGCGGUGAAAUGCGUUGAGAUCGGAAGGAACGCCCGUGGCGAAAGCGCGCUCCUGGACGUUUGCUGACGCUGAGACGCGAAAGCCAGGGGAGCGAACGGGAUUAGAUACCCUAGUAGUCC